rnacentral:tRNA from 1 species
GGGAUGUAGCUCAGUGGGAGAGCGCCUGCCUUACAAGCAGGAGGUCGCAGGUUCAAGUCCUGCCGUUCCC